UACAGGGUUUCAGUACGUGACCUGACGGCAGGAUCAUUAUUGAAUAAACCUGGCAUUUGGUUCUGCAGCUGGCUCUUCUUGGGCAUGUGCUCGCCAUUGUCAUCUUUAUCUCUCCACCUUGUGCACCUCUUGUAGACCUGGACGGAUAAAACUUUUUACUUUCUUCUCAGAGGGCAACCUCUGGUCUUGAGGAUGUGCAUCUCCUUUGUUGGGGUGCUCUCCUUGUUUAAAAGAAAAAAAAAGUUGUCCAGGCCUAUGUCUACACACACACCCAUUGAAUGUAACAGAAUGUAUCUAUGGGCCUUUGUGCCUAUAAAAACUUAUACAACUUUCAGCAACGGAUCUCUUGGCUCUCGCAUCGAUGAAGAACGCAGCGAAAUGCGAUAAGUAAUGUGAAUUGCAGAAUUCAGUGAAUCAUCGAAUCUUUGAACGCACCUUGCGCUCCUUGGUAUUCCGAGGAGCAUGCCUGUUUGAGUGUCAUUUAAAUUCUCAAACCAGCUGGGUUGCUCUUGCUUCCCAGUUGGCUUUGGAUGUUGGGGGUUUCUUUUGCUGGCUUAUCAUACGAGUCUGCUCCCCUGAAAUGCAUUAGCUGGUGUCUUUCUUUUGCCUGUCUACUGGUGUGAUAACUAUCUGCGCCAUAGGGUGAAUAUUUCAAAAGCACUGCUUCUAACCGUCCUUUUGGACAGCAAAUGACAAUUUUGACCUCAAAUCA
rnacentral:sRNA from 1 species